rnacentral:rRNA from 1 species
UACGUAGGGUGCGAGCGUUAAUCGGAAUUACUGGGCGUAAAGCGUGCGUAGGCGGUUUGUUAAGUCUGUCGUGAAAGCCCCGGGCUCAACCUGGGAAUGGCGAUGGAAACUGGCGAGCUAGAGUACGGUAGAGGAGAGUGGAAUUCCCGGUGUAGCAGUGAAAUGCGUAGAUAUCUGGAGGAACACCGGUGGCGAAGGCGGCAUCCUGGACCGGCAUUGACGCUGAGGAGCGAAAGCCAGGGGAGCAAACGGG